UACAGAGGGGGCAAGCGUUAUUCGGAAUUAUUGGGCGUAAAGGGCGCGUAGGCGGCCUGACAAGUGGAAGGUGAAAUCCCUCGGCUUAACCGAGGAACUGCCCUCCAAACUGUCUGGCUUGAGACCGGGAGAGGUGAGUGGAAUUCCCAGUGUAGCGGUGAAAUGCGUAGAGAUCGGGAGGAACACCAGAGGCGAAAGCGGCGACCUGGACAAUGACUGACACUCAACUGCGAAAGCGUGGGGAGCAAACAGG
rnacentral:rRNA from 1 species